ACAUCUAAGUACCCGGAGGAAGAGAAAGCAAAUGCGAUUCCCUGAGUAGCGGCGAGCGAAACGGGAACAGCCCAAACCAAGAGGCUUGCCUCUUGGGGUUGUAGGACACUCUGUACGGAGUUACAAAGAACGAGGUAGAUGAAGAGGUCUGGAAAGGCCCGCCAUAGGAGGUAACAGCCCUGUAGUCAAAACUUCGUUCUCUCCUGAGUGGAUCCUGAGUACGGCGGAACACGUGAAAUUCCGUCGGAAUC
rnacentral:rRNA from 1 species